rnacentral:lncRNA from 1 species
CCCAUAGAUCAGUGUGCCCCAUAGAAGCCUGGCCCCAUAGAUCAGUGUGCCCAUAGAGCCUGCCCCAUAGAUCAGUGUGCCCCAUAGAGCCUGCCCCAUAGAUCAGUGUGCCCCAUAGAUCAGUGUGCCCCAUAGAUCAGUGUGCCCCAUAGAGCCUGCCCCAUAGAUCAGUGUGCCCCAUAGAUCACACUGUGCCCCAUAGAGCCUGCCCCAUAGAGCCUGCCCCAUAGAUCACAGUGUGCCCCAUAGAGCCUGCCCCAUAGAGGCCUGCCCCAUAGAUCAGUGUGCCCCCAUAGAUCACAUUGUGCCCCAUAGAGCCUGCCCCAUAGAUCACAGUGUGCCCCAUAGAGCCUGCCCAUAGAGCCUGCCCUAGAUCACACUGCGCCCCAUAGAGCCUGCCCCAUAGAUCAGUGUGCCC